CUUUUUUUCUCUUUUGUUUUCCAUUGCCUGUCUUUUCUUUACGUAUUUCUUCUUUAAUCUUUCACUACACAUUUGUUUUCUUAUAGACGUUCUCCCUCUCUUUAUCUAUCUAUCUCUAUCUUUAUCUAUUUAUCUCUCCCUUUCUCUCCCUCGUUGAUUGUCAUUUGCACAGUCGAUCGUACGAGAAAGCGCAUCCAUCUUCUUGAAUCUCCGAAGUGUCACUCUGUUUCGUCUCCCCUUCUGCCAGAUUUACUAAGUGCAAUAACGUUCCCAUUUUCUUUAUACUCAAGCGACCGUUUUCUCUUGUAGGUGAUGCUGAUGGGGCCGUUCGUGUCUCGGGUAACUUCCCCUCAAGCUCACCUGAAGUAGCUCUCUAUCAGACUGUGAGAACGUUUUGUGUCCCUGAAGGAGUCUGGGUUUCCAUGGAGACUAUUAACAAAGGCUGAAUCCUCCUCUCCUAUGUUGAACCUUUAAGGCGACCAUCCACUCACCCAACACACCGCCACCUCGUCUCCUCACUCUUAAGAAGAUUAAAAACACUCAACAAAACCAAGAAAAACACUGAAGUAAUAAUAAUAUAAUCAAAGGCAAGACCAAAGACCGAAGCCCGCCACAAACACCACCAGGAAUCAUAAGCACGAGAUCACGAACACAGCCGAGAACAGGUGAAGAAAGAAAGGAAGGAAUGAAGGAAUGAAGGAGGGCAGCAGGAGUCUUAGCACGAGAUCACGAACGCAAGCCAAGAACAGAUGGAAGGAAAGGAAGGAAGGAAGGCAUGCACGUAAUGAAGAACUUAAUGAGACCUUCCUGGAUAUACCUGCCCACAUCACGCUUAUUCCGCACAGAGGUAAGAUGACGUGCCUGGGGCCUCGCUGCGUGCAAUAUUCUCUCAGGCGCAAGGAGAAAGAGGAUAAGGAGGAAGAGCAAGGAAGAUCAUG